CUCUCUCUCUCUCUCUCUCUCUCUCUCUCUCUCUAUCUCCCUCUAUGUCCCUCUCUGUCUCACUUUCCUUCUCUCGCUAACUAUAGUUCAAGAUGAAUCGUGAACUCCGGUUCCCAUAUCUGUCUAUUAUUAUGUUUCGAAAGUGGGUAUGCGGUUUUGAACUUUAAACACAAUUUAAUCCAUGAGAAAUGUUCAUAACAUACACUUUUGUUUCGUUUUCAGAUAGAGUUGACUUCGAACCAAUGUCAACGAAUAUGUAGAGUCUUUGUAGUUAUAAUGCGCUCGCAAAGACUUUCGAAAAAUCAGCCUUAGUUAAUUUCAAUAGCUAGCUUAUCUAGCACCUCUUGAAAUGUGCAAACAUGACAAUGAUGUUUGAUGUAAUCUGAACAUGAUUUAUGGGAUGUAUGAUAGGGUAUUGAUAUAGCCUGCGAGUUGGUUACUCGAAAGUCUUUGCGAUUAUGUUUCAUGAAAAACUGCGUAGAAAUAUAUUUAAUAAAGUUUAUUUAUCACUCUGAUCAGCCGAUUUCCUUUUCAGUUUUAGAUGAAGCAUCUAUAUAAGAUCAGUAUAUCCAUGGAUAAGGCUUUGUCUUCAUAGAUUUAAGUGUUAAUGAAAAAUAAAUAAAUGCUCAACUUGUA